GACGAACCGUCCUAACGUUGUUCGGAAUCACUGGGCUUAAAGGGCGCGUAGGCGGGUUCCCAAGUCGGUGGUGAAAUCUUUCGGCCCAACCGGAAAACGGCCGCCGAUACUGGGAGUCUUGAGGGAGGUAGGGGUCGAUGGAACUUCCGGUGGAGCGGUGAAAUGCGUAGAUAUCGGAAGGAACGCCGGUGGCGAAAGCGAUCGACUGGACCUUUUCUGACGCUGAGGCGCGAAAGCCAGGGGAGCAAACGGG
rnacentral:rRNA from 1 species